rnacentral:rRNA from 1 species
AGCGAACGCUGGCGGCAGGCUUAACACAUGCAAGUCGAACGCCCCGCAAGGGGAGUGGCAGACGGGUGAGUAACACGUGGGAACGUACCCUUUGGUUCGGAAUAACUUGGGGAAACUCAAGCUAAUACCGGAUAAGCCCUUAUGGGGAAAGGUUUACUGCCGAAGGAUCGGCCCGCGUCUGAUUAGCUAGUUGGUGAGGUAAUGGCGCACCAAGGCGACGAUCAGUAGCGGGUCUGAGAGGAUGGUCAGCCACACUGAGACUGAGACACGGCCCAGACUCCUACGGGACGCAGCAGUGGGGAAUAUUGGACAAUGGGGGCAACCCUGAUCCAGCCAUGCCGCGUGAGUGAUGAAGGCCUUAGGGUUGUAAAGCUCUUUUACCCGGGACGAUAAUGACUGUACCGGGAGAAUAAGCCCCGGCUAACUUCGUGCCAGCCGCCGCCGUAA